GGUUACGCGAGUUGUAAUUGAAUAAAAAACGUUUUAGUUCUUCGUGGACGUGCCUAUAGUACGUUCGUCGCAUUCGCGCUCACUAUACUCGGUGUAGGUAUACGAAGUUGGAAUGUGGCCCGGGAGACGGCCGACUUGAGUAACGUACCUAUAAACGCGAACGUCACCCCGCCGCACCGUAUUCGUGGAAGUUUUCAGUUUUACCUAGUGAUCAGUGAAAAACACAGCAGUACGUACGUUUCACCAUCCGCAAUGGGUCACAAAGACGAGUGGAAACCGUUGCUAGUAAACGGCAAUGUCACGGACCGUUCCAGGCCGGAUAAAGAACGGAUUACCAGUUACCGGAGUCUAGUGAGUAAACGCGUUUUUACUAUGCUUAAUAUUUAUUUAUUAUACCAUUGGAACCGACCAAAACUUAAUCUAGAUAUCAUAUAUAAUAGGUAGAUAGGAAUAGGUAUGUAAUUUAUAGACCAGCCCACUUGGAAGAUUUGCUUUUAAGGCUACCAUCAUUUUCACAUGAAGUUAAAUGUUGACGGAAUAGACGGACACAAUUUGUUAACUUAAAAUAUUAGACACCCUAACUUCAAUAGUUCUGUUUCAUAAAAUCAAAACUUAAAUUAAACAAUAUUUCUAAUUACUUGUGACAGCAGUAGACGUAACACCUCUCCCCAUCUCCGACUUCAUCCGCCAGUUUAACACCUACUAUAUCUAUUAUUAAUCUAACCUAAAGACCUAAUUUUUCUGUUAGUGAAAAAUAAUCACCCAAAAAAGAAAUCAAAUAAAUGUUUCACGUUUCUUUGAUAUCAUUCAAGAGUAUCCAUCUCAGAAGAUAACUCUUUAACCAUCCUUCUUUUAAGACAGCUAAGACAGUGAACUUGUGUUUUAAUAACUACUUCUGCAUUUUAUCGUGAUGUUAUUUAUAUAAUAUUUCAAUAUUAUGAAGUUUCGUAAUUAUUCAUAGUUAUUAUAAUAUUAAUUUCGUCAUACAUAUAAUUAAUAGUAAUUAAUAGCCGAAUUUAACAUGCAAUAUUAUUUUGUUUAAUGGAAAUACAAUUUGUCAUUAUUUAUUAUUUUAUGACAGAGAUUAUAAGGAUUAAAGGGGGCUGUGAGCCGUUAGAGUUCUCGAUCUCUCAAAUAAAAAAGGGGCCCUAUAAAAAAGUGUAAAACUACAACUCUUAAACAUCGUUUCUUAUUUUAUCUAUGCAGGUUUUUUUUCGGAAAAAUUAAAACCUUCGAAUUGAAUUAUCUCUAGUCCACUAAUUUCAUUAAUGACUUAACCUGGUCUAACCUAAUCUUUGCUUAAAGCGUUUCACUUUUAAUAAAAAAUCCAAACGUAAUUUGUUUUUGACCUGAGGUUUUUAGAGUAUAUUAUUAUUCUAAUGAUAUAACUGGUAUUAUUUUACUUGUUUUUUUCAUGUAUGACUUAAUAUACUUCCUAAUAGAAACAAUUACUCUCCUGCCAUCUGAUCUUGAGGAGGGAGUUAGGUUAGAUUAGUGAUGAAAACCACUAUUGUAAAGAUAAUUUUUUUUAGCCGAAAUUUAAACUAACGUAUAAACUAUGUAUCACCAAUCUAAAUUGUCAAUAAAUAAUUAUUGGAAUAAAACAAAGUUGAACUUUUUAUGGCUUUACUAAGUACUUACUAUUUAACACUUUAGAAAAUUCGAAAAUCUGGAAACAUUGAUUUUAAGCUUAAGUACCCAUCUAUACAAUUUAAGUUUAUUCAGUUUUAAUUUGAGUGUAUAAUACUAAUAAACCUAUAUUAUUGUAAUAAGAUGAAUAAAUUUGCUCGAAUUUCGAUAACCAAGUACCUAGUGAAGAUGAACUAAGUAAUUAAUUUUAGUUACACAAUACAAUUAUUAUAUAACUAAUGGUAUAAUUUUCUUCAACGCUGAUAAAAUAUUAAUACGAUGAGACUCAUGACAUAUUAUUAAUAGUAUAGCGUAUAGCCAUAUAGGUAUCACUUAACUAAUUUUAAUGAUGCACAACUGCGUAACUAAUGUAUAUUAUACAUUAGAAUGUGUUUAAACAAUAAAUAUAUAAUGUAUAUAUCUGUUUUUCUUUCAAAUCUGUAGCGACUUAAUGAAUAUAUUAUUAUUACGUCAUUGAGUCAUUCACAUUCCAUGUGGUUUUGCAUUUGAAUGUUUUAGUUUGUUUGAUUUGGAUAUUCAAAGAGGUUAUCUCAGCAAUGAACUAUAUUACACAGAAAUCGAUUGAAAUCCAAACGAUUAGGUCAGGUGAAGGGAUAAAUAAUUUUUGAUAACUAAGAUUAAUUAAAAUAUAUUCCCGUUUAAGUAUGAGAAAUCAUUAAUCAUUAAAAUAGUUACUAUAGUUUAUUUAUAAUUUAUUUAGCAUUGCUUACUUAAGUAUUUACUUAGUGCUUGAAUUGGAACGCAGGGGGACGGAACGCUUAUACUAUUUUUAUUUUUGUUGCCCUUUCUUUAAUAAUUAUUCUACUAGAUGGGCGGACGAUACGUCUCUUUGAGUAAAUAAUAUAGUCAAAGUCAAUCAUUGCAAGGUGAUCUACAUUUUGUAAUGUCUCAUAGUCCCCCUUUUUUUGCAAUUCACUGCUUGUACUACCUAAUAAUAUUUUAUUAAAUUUAUACUAGCUCUGUAGUUAUAUUUUUUAUUUACUAUUUUAUUUAGUUUCACAUAUAAAACAUAUUUUACUAAUACGUUGACCGCCAUGAGACCUUACCAUACUCUGUCCUAACCGCUAAUUGUUUUUUAUAAGUCUACUGAAAGAAAUUUCCGAUUACUUUUAAAAGUUAUAUUUCUUUUUAUUACUGUCUAUCUAGAAUAAUUUUUAUAUUUUUAAGUUAAUUUGACCUGAGAUCUUAAAUUAGAUUGCAUGGUUGUAGGAUAACUACUAUUCAAAAAAAAAAUUAUUAUUUUCAUAUCACCGUGAGAUCUCAAAUUAAAUCUCAUACUAAAAAAAUAUGUAUAACAAAACCUUAAAUAAAAUCUCAAAUACCUACAUAUUAUAAAAUUAUUUAUUGUGUGUUUACAGAUAUAGACAUAGGUAAUAAUAUAAAUAAAAAUAAUAAUACAAAUUAAAAUAAUUUAUGCCACUGUUUAAUCUAACAAUUUUAUUCGCAGAGUACCUACCGAAUAAACUACCAAAUUUGCAUAAAAAUUUUAAAUGACGAAAUCGUACGCCGUAAAUUUAUUCGUUUUCAUUAGAUUGAUAUAAAACAUAAAAAUAAUAAUACUUGUACUAAUAAUAGGUAUUGAAGAAAUCCACGCGCAAUAUACUUAUAUGAAUAUAUAAUAUCAUAAUAUAAUUAGCACAUUGUUCAAAAUUAAAACAUAGAUCAUAUUUAUGUCUACCUAAACCUAUUUUAUAUAAUAUCAAGUUUACCUAAUAGCGCAUACUAUAAUAAAGGUAUACAAAAGCAUACACAAAAAUAAAUCUCCCCGUUAUAAAUCAUUUUAAAAAUUAUUAUAAUAACCGACGCGGAUUAAGUUGGAAUUAUAAGUGAAUUCAGGCGGCAAAUACCAUCCAAAGUUAUAUAAAGAGGCUUAAAUGGUAUAUAUUGGCGGCAAACACGUUUCAAACUAACCGGUUUUUGCACGUUUCACACAACGUAUAUGAAUAUUAUAAUUUAUAAUAUUAUAUCUAAUAUCUAUAGUCUAUAGAAUUAUUAUACGAUAAGAAUAUAAUAGUAUUCGUAAACAUAUUCGAUAUAUUCUUUAAUGACUUUUUUUAUUGUAAUAUUACAAUUUGCUCGGGGAAUACACGUGUACAGAUAGAAACCCGAUACAAGGUGAGAGAGUUAUGAAUUCUCAUUUAUCAUUUGCAGUCGUUUCUGUCAAUUGAUACCUACUCCAAAAAGCCUAAAGUUUUUGUCAACAACUUUCCCAUUGCGCUUUAUUGGUGACAGUCAGACACUCGACCACAGAUACCUCUACAGUAUUGGUUUACACGUAGGUAUAGAACCCUUCGUCUUUGAUAUGGGUUCCAUCACGAUCAUGUAAUUUUUAAUAUUUUUUUUUCCACCCCGUAGACAUAAUAUAUAAUAAUAUAAUAUACACUAUAGUUUUCAAUAGAUCACUAUAGUUUAUUUAUUGUAGUAAUAUUUUAAGAUUAAAUCAUUUUAUUUGCCAUUUUAAACAUUAAAAUACAAUUCAUCACUCUGUAGCGUAGUGUAUUUUACAGUAAAAUUAUUAUAUAAUACGUAUAUGCAAAAAUCUGUCAGCAAUUUCUGAAAUAACCCUAGAUAACAAAUUUAUUUGCAACAGAUGUUAAAAUAAAAUAAAAUAAAUAUUGAUUUAUAUCAAUUAAUAUUUCGAUUUUCUAAAAAAAAAAAUGGAGAAAUAGUAUGAUUUUGUGAUCUUCGAUACAAAAAGUAUUAUUUUUGCCCAUUUCCAUAAACAAUUAACGUUUUAAAAAGACCUCCUAGGAUAAUGGAGACGGGAGCAGCCGAAUCACGGAAAAAAAAAUCCUUGAUAAUAAAUCCCCAAACCAACCUUACUGUCAAAAUUACAUGUAUAAAAAAAAAAUUAAUAUAGUUUAAUCAUCAAUGGUUUAAGUACAUAUUGUGCACACAACUGUCAAAAAUAAUAAUAAUAAAAAAUUUAAAAAAUAUAUAAUAUCGUAUGUAUAACCAUUAAAACAUAUUUUAUUUUUACCUUAUGAGAAUUUAGUUAUGUCCAUAGUUGCACAGUCACACAUUUCGAAAUUAGUCAAUAGGAAUUGAAGAAGUACUAACCGUAAUACCUAUGUAAUAACUAUUUCACAUUAUUUCACUAUUUAUAUUUCACAUUUGCUAAGAAAACUCCGGAGAAAAACGAUAAACGACCUCUCUAAAGUACCUCCCUAGUGAGUUUUCCUUUUAAAAGCAUUGCUAUGAUUAUAAGUUAAAGCAAAUUGCUGAUUGAAAAGUUGUGCACAGGAAAAAAAUUACGUAAUAUUCUAGAAUAUGUUUUGUACACUUUCCGGUUUUUCUUCAGUUUUUCGAUUUUUCAAAUUUAAUGGAAAAACUUUUGAGAAAAUCGAAACCUCCCUAAAGGACUUCCCGACACCGAUUUCUUUUCAGAAAAGAUACUACACUUUUAAUCUGAGCAAGUUUUCUGGUAUACGAGGUGUGGCUAUUUAAAAACGGGAAUUUUGUUAUAAAAAUAAUUUAUUUGUAAAAUUAUAAUUAUUAAAUGUGAUCCCCUUCUAUAUACUUCCCACCCAUUACUAUACACCGUUCCAUACGUGUUCUCCAUUAUUCGAAGCAGUGUUGCAACUCUUCAGAUGUCAAGCCCUUAAAUUGGUUUGCCGCUUUAGUCUUCACCUCUUCCACGGAUCGAAAAUAAGUCCCCUUCAACGCAAUUUUUAUUUUUGGAAAUAGAUAAAAGUCGCAGGGUGCUAAAUCUGGCGAAUAUGGAGGAUGCUCGAGUACUGGAAUGCGUUUAUUGGCUGAAAACUGCUUAACAGAAAAAGCAUUUUUGGUACCAUUUUGGCACAGACUUUGUUCAUGUUUAAAUUGUUGUGUACAAUUUGUCGAACUGUUUCUUUGUCUAUAUUUAUCAUAUCUGCAAUCAUACGAAUACUGAGACGACGAUCAUUCGGACAAUUUUGUCAAUUUUGUCGACGUUAUCAGCACUUUUUGAUGUGCAGGGGCGACCAGGAUGCUCGUCGUCUUCCACUUCUUCUCGCCCAUCUUUAAAUCUUUUAUGCCAUUCAAAACCUCGAGUACGUGACAUCGUGUCCUUCUCGUACACAUUAGUCAACAUCUUUAGACAUUCUGUGGGUGAUUUUUUUAAUUUAACAAGAAGUUUUAAAUUAACACGCUGUUCAAUUUUUAAAUUAGGCAUUAUUCCAGCAAUUUCGUACGAUAUUAUCCACUUUAAACAACGCGUGAAUGCGAACUAAUUGACCAAAAGAGAUAAAACUGAUAUUUGAUGCGUUGGCUUGUGCAAAUAAUAACUACGAUAUAAUUACCCAUCAGAGAGUUGAUUGCACUCUAAUCAGAAGGAAAACCUGUUUUUAAAUAGCCACAUCUCGUAAAAGUUGCGCAAAGAUAAAAAUAAUAAUAAACAUCUUCGCUACACUCAAAAAUCUAAAAAUACGUUUUAAUAAGUAAAUUAUUUAUAAAAUACUGGACACAUUAAAAUAAAAAAAACUCAAAACUGAGAGUUUCUCUAAAUAAAUUUCAAAAAUCAAAAAUAUUCAUAAUUUUUCAAGGUGUUUGUCAAAAUCUUGUGAAAAACGUAUUUUGUUACUUUUUUAUAAAAAAAGAGCUGAUACUGGAAAUGGAUGCGGCCACUGUUGUAAGUGGGUAAUGAGGAAGGUGGAAACACAAAGUUAUUUAAUAUAUACUUGUAAUAAACAAUAAACCAUUGAUAACAAAAAAAAUUCGGAGCAAGAUUCGGUUAUAUAUGUUUUAAAAAGCCAUAAUAUUUACAAUUUUCGUUAAAAAUUAAAUUUUAAAACUCUUAAAAAAAAAAAAGAAAAUACUACAUUAAAUUAAUUUGUUUUUUUUUUUUACUACUAAAUACGACUUAUUAUGAACCAGUUCCUAUCAAACUUUCAAGCAUUUCUGUUAAGUCUAACAAUUUAUCUACGGAGUACUUACCAAAAAAAAUUACGUAAAAAACUUGUAAAAUUAAAAUGUUUAUAAAUAGUUCAAAAAUUAUUAAAAUAUUCUAAAAGAUUUACCACGUCUAGAAAAAGUAUAUAUAUAUAAGUUUCUUGUUAACAUGUUAAAUCUACAAAUUCAUGCAACCUGAAUUACAACAAAAAACAAAAUUGAAAAUAAUAAAAGCAUUAUUUUUAUAAAAAUUUCCCAUUGUCUACGUAUUUUUCGGAUUUGCUCAAUUAUUAAAAAAACGACAAAGAAAAUAAAAAAAUUUAAUAAAAUAUUUUGAUAAUUUAAAAUGUUUAAGAUUAUAUUUUUCUACCAGAAAUCUUUGUCCAAAUCCCAAGAAAAUUGUGUCUAGUUUGUGAGUAAAAAAGUUUUUUGAUUUUCUGUAUAGUUUUUCUAAUAUUUACGAAAAAUUGGGGGAAACGUAAGAAAUACGGCAAAGUGUACAAUAUUUGGGUUUUUUAGUUAGAAAUUAUUGUAUAAACCAGUUUUUUGACAAAAUCUAACUUUUUGUAAACGUGGCAGAAUUUUCAAAACAUUUUAGCUAUUUUAAUGCUGUUUAUAGGUAUUUAAUAUUUUCAUGUUUUUACAUGUAUUUUUAUUUGGUAGGUUAUUAAAAUUAUAUGAAUUUAGAUAAAUGCUUGAAAAUUGAACACAAAGUACAUUAUAUGUAAUACACAGUUACCUAAAAAACAAAUUUGAGUUUUAUGCAUUCGUUUUUUUUCAUAAGUAUUUUAAGAUCAAAUUUUGAUAAAAAUUGUAAAAAUUAUGAAAUUUCAAAGUAUGUUUUAUCGAACUUCGGUCCAAAUUGUUUUUUAUUAAGAAUGGUUUAUCACUGCUUACAAAUAUAAAUUAAAUAUUUUUAUGUAUUCUACCUUCUCAAUUUCCCAACUACAAUAUAGUGACUGCACUCGUCCCCAUUAUCAGCUCUUUUUUUAGUAUAGACAAUUAUAGGCUUUACGUAUAAUAGGUAUACGAGACUUAGACGUCGUACGUCUAUUUAAAGCAUACGAUAUAAAAUAUGUAUAGGUUAGUAAAGCAUUAUAUUUAUUAGGUUAACCGCGAAUCAACCAAUUGACCUUCGAUCAGAUAAUAUUAUUGUUAUAACGAAACUCCCCUCCGUAUUAUAUUAUUGUCAGCGGCAAUCUGAAAAUAAGUCGUUUCUAAAUACUGUAGGUUACCCAUAUUAUAAUAUUAAAUAUAUGAAUUAAAAAAACCUAUAUAUUUCUCGGCCACACGCUUAGAAAUAAAAACAUUACGUGUCAGUCAAAAAUUUAAAAAUCUAUAAACUCCUUAAAAUAAUAAUUAUAUAACGAUUUUACGAUAAAAAAUAUAACUUUAAAAAAAAAGUUUAGAUUUAUGAAAUAUGUUUGAGAUAUCAUUCGAUAAUUCAUAUUUUUUAAUUGAAAAAAAUUCAAUCUAUUAUAGGUGUACAAAAUACUAAUAGGUUCACUACUCUGUCAUCGAAAAUGAUAAAAUGUAAUUAUUAUUUACCUAGUUAAUCAUACAACAUUAUAAUAUAUAAAUAUGUUACGUUGACUUCAUACAAAGAAAAUAUGGACUUUUUAUAUAAUAUAGUAAUCCAAUAAUCCAAUUGAAUUUAUUUGAGGAGAUAAGAAAUCUUCUUCUUUGUCAUCACAUUUCUUCAAGAGUUUUUGCCGCCAGCGAAACCUUCCAUUCUUCUCGAUUUGAACUUUUUCUUGCCAAUUUGGCAACCCUAAUUCCUCUGAGUCCUGCUUUAUUCCAUCUAUCCAUCGUUUCUUAAAACUUACUUUAAAGAGGUAACUUUUUGAUUUUCCUCAAAAGUUUUCCCAAUAAAUGGGAAAACCGAGAAAACCGUGGGAAAAACGGGAAAAUAGGUACAAUAUUAAACAAAUAUUAUUAAAGAAAAUACAUAAUGCAUAAUAAAUAAUAAAUUAUUGUUUUUUGUUACCAAUGGUUAACCGCUGCAUACAGAUAUACAUUAAAUUCCCCUGUAUAACCUUCCCAACUUCUCAUAUACAAAAGAGGUUCAUCCAACGUGCGAAGUAUGUCUGUCUAUUUUUUUCAUAAUAUUAUGUAAGUCUUAAUUAUAAUAUUAUUAUAAAAUACAUUAAUAUCGAAAAACAAUCUAACAUAUUAUUGAAAAAACUCUAAUCAUACAGAUAUCAAAUAAAUUAUAAAAAAUAUUAUAUGACGUGUUUACCUAUUGGCUAUUGCUCAUAAUAAUAUAUUAUCGUAAAACGCAAUAACCAGAUUGAUUUGACCAUACAGAUCUAUGGAUGCAACCCAAUAUUUUACAUACAGGUUAGCCAAAGUGCAUGUUUGUGAAUUACCACAUUGUUGAUUUUUUCCUCGAGAAUAGAAAAUAUACGAUUAUCGUAAUAUUAUUUUACUUGUAUUGUAGGUACCUACUUUUAUGUAUUUUUUUUAAGGCUAUAAUUGAUAAGAAGUAAAACAUAACAAUCUUAUUCAAAAUAAACGUUGGUAUUUGUUAUUUUAUAUUAUUGUUUAUUAUAAUAUAUUAUGUAAAUAUACUGAAUAUGCACAUGACCGAUGGCGUUUUUUCACUAGAAAUCGUCUAUCUAUAUAAUUUGUUGGAAUUUAGGUAGGUAUCUAAUAGAUUUUUCGAGAGAACUAAAAAUAGUUUCUUUAAGUAGUAAUUUUCUUUUUUAAAUAAUAAUAUAAUAUACAACAUAUAUUUAACGUUUUUCAGGACAAUUCCGAUCCGAUGAAGAUUAUUCGAAAACGGCCAGACGAAAGUAUUACGUACACAUGGACCAACAUAAACGUGUACACGAAAAACGGCAAAAGCCGAAACUUUUACGAAACGUUGACAUCUUGUUGUGUGAAUGCCGUUCCAAAAAAGUUGCAAAAGAAACAAUUACUGAAAAAUGGUGAGUUUAGCUUCUAUGGGCACCAGAUUUAUAAUAUAUGUUGCUCAUCUCCGUAUUAGUUAUGGACUCUACUAGAAUACAACUUUUGGGAUUACUAGAAUCUUAUAUUCUUAUAUACACAAUGAAGCCGUGAGGUUAUUGUCCCUACACUUUUAACACAUUAUUCGAAAAUACCUGAUGCUGCAAACAGAUGUGCCACUAUUGUAGGUGAGAAGUUGGGAAGGUAGGAUGCAUAAAAUUAUUUUAUGUAUAUAUGUACGCAACGAUAAAUUAUUGCUGACGAAAUACGGUUCUGAGCAUAGGCGUCCUAGACGUCCUAGGCGUCCUAUUUGCACCUAGUAAAAAAAAUAAUAUUAACUGAUAAUUUUAAUAAAUUAAAAUUUAAACUUUCAUUAAACACAUAUUUUAAAAAAUUGUUUUAAUUUGAAACCCCGUUUUAAAUUUCACCUUUAGAGGCGUCCAUGAUACUGAGCGAGUUUGAUAAAAAAAGGUUGUAAUUUUUAAAUUUUCGUCAACAAUUUAACUUAAAACGUUUUUAAAAAUCUACUAUAUUACGCUCAAUAUAUUUUUAUCAUACAAUAUAACUUAUGAUAUGUGGCCUGUUGGUGGUUUUAGGUGCUGUAGGUGACUCAAUACCUAAAAGUUCUUUAGAAUCUGUCACAAUUUUUAAAAUUACGUAUGCCUAUCAAGAUAAGAUAAGAGUACGCGAUUUUCUGGUUAUUUUAUUAUUUUAUAUAUAAUAGUUAUAAUUUAUUAUAUAUAUAUAUAUAUAAAUUAUAUAUUACAAUAUAAUAUUAGAUACCAAUCUAGAUAAUUGUACAUACCAAACGCAUUUUUGUAAAAUUGUAUCACAAAAAUUUAUCUUCACUCUACAAAAUAAUUCAGUAAUAUAUAUAUUUGUCUAAUGUAAUCCUAACUAAUAAGUCUUUUUUCUUGUUUUUAAUACCUGCAUAAUAAAUCGAAAACUAUAAAUAUAUCAUUAUUAUUAUUACAGUGAGCGGUUCGGCGCGACCGGGCGAACUUUUGGCUUUGAUGGGGUCUAGUGGUGCUGGAAAAACAACCUUGUUGAAUUCGUUAACUUUUAGAAGCGACCGUAACGUGACCGACACCGGAAUCCGGGCCAUCAACGGCGUACCAAUCAACGGCAAAAUGUUGACUGCCGUGUCCGCGUACGUACAACAACACGACCUGUUCAUUGGGACUCUAACAGUCCGGGAACAUUUGGUUUUUCAGGUGAGAAUCGUUUAACUUUUUAAAAAAAAAAAAAACACUCUAUGAUGGUAUCAGUGUUGUAUAAUGCUUCAAAAUCAAAAAGCGGGUUAAAACUAAAAUAUGUAAUCUGAUUUUAAUCAUCGAUUAGUUGGUGAAUUUCGCUCACAGCGUAUAAUGAAAUAAUUUUUAUGAAUUGAGUCCAAAAAGAUAAAAUUAUACUUAUCUAUUAAUUUUGUACUAAAACGUUUCUAAACUUGAUCGCAAAACGAGCAAAAUAUUCAAGUACCUAAUUCAGAAUCGACUGAAAAACAACUUUUCGAUUAUCUACAGCAUUGGUGACCAAUUACGGUCCACGAGGCCAAUCCAACCCAUGAUCAUUAUUAAUCAGCCAACCAAAGUAUUGAAUCAAAAUUGAAAAAAGAAUAUAACUUCAAAUUUCAAAAAUUAACAUUAACAUUAAAAAAGGACAUGUUUAUACUUUAAAUUUUUUUUCUUAUUUAUAACAAUCAAUAUAUAAUAAAUAAUUAAAUAUAUCACUGUACCCAUAUUAAAAUGUACCUACAGUAAAUUAUAAUAUUCUAUUAACUUUAAAGUAAAUGUUUUAAUUCUUGGCUCACCAAGAAUUAUUAUUAUUUUUUUGUUAUGUCCCUCUGUAAAAAAGGGUUGGUCAUCUACACUGAUCUACAGCAACGAUUCCCAACGUGUGAUCCACGGCACCCUGGGGCACCUCGAUUAGGUGUAGGGGCACGGUGUAACCAUUUUGAAUAUUUACUGGUUUAAAAAUAAAUUUAAAACUCAAAUCACAAAUCGAUUUUAUUUACCUUGGUUACCUUUGGCUACACAAUGAGAUAAACACCGCUUUACAAAAAGUCGUCUGAUCAGAAUAAGUUUUUGAUUGUAAUAAAACGACAAAUAUUUACGGCGUGCAGCAACGUUACCGAUUUCAUUGUUUUUAAUUUUUGCCAACUAUGUUUUCUACUAGGAAUAUUGCUUUAUUCAAAAAUUACCAAGUAAACUUUUUUGUACCAUUUCGGAUCUAAUUUUUCACGAUGCAGGUAGUUUUUUAUGCUUCCUGUAUUUUUUUUUUAGUAACUGAGAAUAAAACAAAUAAAAAUUGUAAAGAGAACUAACGAAUUAAUGAAAAUUAUGCUUUUAUUAGUUUCAAUUUUGUUUUUUUGUUGUGAUUCAUUUUAAAAUAUUGACAGAAAAAUUAAAUUUGCCUUUUCUAUACAUAGUAAAAUUAUUUAAAUAUUUUCUCGAUUUUUGAGAUAUUUAUAAGCAUUUUAUAUUUGUAAGUUUUUUACGUAAUUUAUAUUUGGUAAGUACUCUGUGGAUAAUAUUUUUUGACUAAACAGAAAUGUUUGAAAAUUUAACAGGAAAGAGAUUCAUUAUAAGUUGUAAUUAAUAGUAAAAAAAAAGUUAAGUGUAAUGUAGUAUUUUUUUUUUUUUAUAUAUAUAUAUAAGAAUUUUAGUAUCGGAUUUUAACGAAAAUCGUUAAUAUUACGGCAUUUUAAACAUGUUUAACAGAACUCUACUCAGAAUCGUUUUUCGUUACCAAUAGUUUAUCGUUAUUCAGAGAUUGUUAAAUAACUAUGUAUUUUAACUUCCUAAGGUACAACUUACAAUACACCUGUCCUCAAGAUCGGUUCUUUUUUUUUUAAAUGGAUGUCUACAACUCAACUUUGAUAAUAAUAUAAUAUUGUAAAAAUAUCAUUAAUCUGUUGAUAUCUUGUUGAUACAGAUUGAAACAAAAACCAUUUAUAUUAUUUAUAUCAUUAAAUCUCUAGGUAUGUAAAAGAAUGAUGUUAUUAAUAUUUAUGUUGUCGCUUUUAAAGUGUUAUUCUGGAAAUAUAAAUAUACUUAAUAGUUUAUUUUGUAUGACUAAUUUUAAUAUUUAUUGCAUAAUAUGAAUGUAACACUAAUUUUAGGUUAGUUUUUGAAAUUCUCAAACAAUAAUAGGCACGAACUUUGCUUUUGUUUAUGGAUAACUCUGAUCUAUUGCUAUGGUGGGAUCUGUUAGCAGUGUUUGUGAUACCAUACCUUUCCAACUUUUUACCUACAACUGUUACCAUAUUAUUUUAGAGGGGAAUGUAUAUAUUUAUAAAAAAGUGUAUGCAGGGUUAAGGUGGUGAGGAGUUUAUAGGUAUGAGGAGAUUAGAGGGUGUGAGAAGUUUAAGGUUAAGUUAGAUAAAGGUUGAAUUAGGGGGUUAUAAGUAAGGGGAUGAGGGUACUAAGUAGAUGAAGGGUUAGGAAUAACAUAAACAGGGAACGUAUUGUUAGUUCAGAAAUCAGCAAUAAUAUACAUACUUGCUUAAUUAUUUACUAAUACUUAAUUAUCAAAUAACUACUUAUCUAACUAUUUUCGUUACAAAGCUAUAGACGGACAAAGCCGGGUAAUACAGCUAAUAUUAUUAUUAGGUAUAAAAUGAUAGAAUUAAAAAAAUUCUAGAACCGGUAUUCUACUUAACAUGUAUAUAAAUACACGUUUCGUGUUGGUGAUCCGCGCGCAUGACCUUGUUCAUCUCGUAUAGGUGUAAUACGCUAUUGGACUCUUACGUAAUCGUAAAACUUCCGUUUUGCCACAUUAUUAUAUUGGUUACCGUAUAGUAUAAUAAUGAACUUAAAAAUCAUCAAUUAUAUCAUAUCACACUAUGUCAGAUAAAGAAAUGUUCUAUACGUUUGUCAUCCACCGUGGAAAAAAUGAUGAGAUGCAUUUACGAGUAGGACGUGCCCUAAAUUAUAUAAUAUAUACCUACACGUAGUCGUUUUUCUUAAGUACACUAAUAUCAUUGUCAUUGCGUUAAUUUUUGGGGAUUAUAAUUUUGAACACGUGAUUUUCGACUAUUCAAAUUUUGUAUUUGCAAUAAUUUUAUAUAUUUACUAAUUCCAAAUAAGACAAACAAUGAUAUGAAUUUAAAAAUCAAGUGGUUGUUUUUCAAAGCUAAUAGCCAAGUAAGCAAUAUCGGAAUUUUCUCUAUUCGUAACUAUAGUAAAUAGUAAUUGAAUUUCAAAAAGUACGAGUAAUAUUAACGAUCAACACUUGUAUAAUACCGAGAUUUAAUGUGUCAGUGACCGCAGUUAACCUGUACGUCGUCGUUUCCACGCCGGUUUCUUGUUCUUUUUAAAUUAACGUAAACCAGUGUUAUUAUGUAUAUAUACUUAUUUAAAUACAUUUUAUAACUUUUUUUUCUGCCUAGUAUAUUAUAUGAUUUAAACGCAUUUAUCCGAAUAUUUAAAAUGUAUUUUCUACAUCUAAAAGAUUAUAUAAGAUUAUAUAAAUUACCUAUAAUACCUAUGCCAAAUAUUUUAGAACUUCAAACCUACAUGUAGCUAUGGCCUAUUAUUAUUAAUAGCUAAACAAUAUUACUAACGACAAAUAAUAAUAUAGGUAUAUCUAAUAAAUAAUACAGUAAAAUGUUUCAAAUUAAAUUUAUUAUAUGAUUAAAUAUUAAACAAAUAUGUUUUUAUUUAGACAGAUAAGAUAUGGCUAAGAGUCAAAAGUCAAUUUUUGAAAAUGUUACGCCACUUAUAGUGAUUAAUACUUUUGGAAAAAUAUUAAUGUAUAUUUUACUAAAUACCUAAAUAUCUAAAAAAUUUAAUCGGAAUUUUAUAAACCUAUAUUUAAUAUUAUACUCGUAAUCAUAUAUCAUAUUAUUUAAAUACAACUAUUAUUUGUUAUAUUGUACUUAAUUUAUAAAUGCAAAAAAUAUACAAAAAUAAAUAAUUGUAUUUACCUUAAUAUUUUUCUUUUUCAUUUUGAAAUUUAAUUAUACUAUGUAAUAAUAAUAGUCUCAAAUAAGCAAUAUAAAUAUUGUUAUUGAAAUUUAUUUUUUUUUUUUAACUCUUAUAACUGCAGGCAUUGGUGCGAAUGGACCGUCACAUACCGUAUGAAAAACGAAUGGCUCGAGUCGAAGAAGUCAUACAAGAGGUCAGUAUCAUAAAAAACAUUGGUGUGUACAAUUACACAUUCAAUAAUAAUUUUAUUGUAUUUUUACUCUAUCUGCAGCUAUCGUUGACAAAAUGUAAAAACACAAUAAUAGGUGUGACCGGAAGAAUAAAGGGUUUAUCAGGCGGUGAAAUGAAACGUUUGUCGUUUGCUUCCGAGGUAAGAAACAAUCGUAUAAGACAAAAAAUAAUAUUUUCAAUUAACAUUACUACGAUGCACAAUAUCAUAACAACUGGCAGUAUUUUUCGCAUGAACAAUAAGAAAACUACAACACGUCAACACAACGAUGUGAUAUUAUUAUUUUAUAACAUUUUAACAUUGUAUUCAAAAAUCAACUACCUAUACCAAUACACUUUAAACUGUUUAUAAACGACGAGUAUAACAAAAAUAUAAACAUUAUAAUAUUCUAUAGACGCAGGCGAGGAUUUCGAUUUUAUUUAAAAAAAUGUUGGACACCUCAUACUCGUCUAUUAAAUGGAUAGAUACACUAAAUCAGUAGCGUCCCAAAACCCAUUUAUAAGGGGGGGGGGACGAAAUUCAUACAUUAUAUGUGUAUAUAUAAAUAUAUAAACAAACUAAUUACUAGGUAGUUUACCAGGUUUCACUUGGGGUGUAUAAUAUCAUAUAUGGCAUAUUAUAUAGAUUCGAAAAACAGUGUAAUAAUUAAAAUCAAAAUGUUUAAAAUUGCACGUAUUUAAGUAUAAAUUAAUAAUAGAAGUAAUUUUGUAAUAAAUUGAGAAAACACAAUUUAUAAAUUAUAAGUACUUAUUUACAUCUCAUUUAGAGUUUUAUAAAAAAAAUAGUUGAACCUGAAUAUUUGAUUAAAGAAUGAAAUCGACUUUGUGUUUUAAUUAAUCAAUUAAUUAUAUUAUGUUAUUUGUAUGUAAUAGAAUAUUAUUAUGAAUAUGCAUAAGCACCAAACCGAUCAAUCGUGCUUUCCCUAUUUGAUUUCUCAGCCAAGUUUUUAAUCUAAUAAGCAUAAAAAAACAAGGAAAUAAUUAUAAAGCAAAAACAAAAAUAUGAUAAAAAGCUUAAAAAAUAUAAAUAUAAAUGGUCAAAUAUUCAUUUAACACAUAAAAUUCAUUAUUUAUAAAAGUAUUAACUUUCUUUUGGGAAAUUAGUUCAAAUAUACAAGAAAUUUGAUAGGAUAUUAUAGAUUUCUGGUAUUAAAAUUAUGGGUUUUCAUUUAAAAAUCAAAAGUUGAUACUCAUAUAGGGUAAAACAAGAUAUUAAAAAUAUCAUACCACUAAAAAGUUCAACAUUUUAAUAGUUAAACUAAUUUCCCAAAAGAAAAUUCCAAAAAAGUGAAUUAUAUUCAAAUGAAUGUUGUGUUGUAUCAGUCUGUCUGUACCUAUAUAGGUAUGUGUAGCUCAUAAUGGAUAUGUUUCUGUGUUUUAAGUUUAAUAAAUCUAGUUAUUAUAAUAUUUAAUACUCAGUGGGCAUUAUACAUUUUCUAAUUAUUUUACAUAAUAAGUAAAACUUCUGUUUAGUUCAAUAAAUAACACAUUUUUAAACUAUUUUAUUAAACUACAACUUUUAAUACAACAUUUAAGUAAUUUAACAAACUAUUUAUUAAGCCCAAGGGAAUCACUGAUCGCGAAAUACAAGAAAUAAAUAUAAAAUAAAAUACGAUAAUAGUGCCUACGUACUUAGAGUGAUUACUGAUCAUCCAAUUAUUAUAACUAGUAUAAUGUUAGAAAAACGUUAUAUUAUUAUUUGUAUUUUUUCAUAAAAAUUGUCUAUAUAAAAUCCCUUAAAAAUUGUUCUCCAUGUAGAGGCUGACAAAUUUGUGAUAGAAUACAGUUUUUAUAAUAUCAAUCUAAUAUAGGUGUUGACAGACCCUCCGUUGAUGUUCUGUGAUGAGCCCACGUCGGGACUAGACUCGUUUAUGGCUCAAAAUGUAGUUAGCGUACUUAAGUCGAUGGCGUCUAAGGGCAAAACGAUAAUUUGUACCAUUCACCAGCCGUCUUCAGAAGUAUACUCUAUGUUCGACAAGAUAUUGUUGGUGGCCAGCGGCCGAACGGCCUUUCUUGGUACACCAAACGAAGCCAUCGAGUUUUUCAAAACGUAAUAGUAAUAUAAACAGUUGAGGUAAUAACAAUAUUUAUUUUUGUUCGGUUUUUCGUAGGCUCGGCGUCAGUUGCCCGAAGAAUCACAAUCCAGCGGAUUUUUUCAUCCAACUACUCGCCAUCGUACCGUCUCAAGAGCGGUGCUCGUACGACACCAUCGACACGGUUUGCGAGGCGUACGAAAGUUCGCAAUACAAGCGCGACAUGAUAGAAUAUCAAAAACGGUUGUCUUCGAAUGGCAGGGUAAGAUUCUAUAAAUUAUGACUUCGGGGGGGAGGGGAGCAAAAUAAUAUAGCCCUUUCUCGACUUAAAAGUCAGCACUUGAUAACACAAAAUAAAUAAAAAAUUGGACAUAUUUUUGUGAAAUAUAAUCUUCUCAUAAUUCUUCUCAUUUACCUUCAUCCCAACUGUUUAGGAUCGGCCAUUCUAGUCUUAUACUUCCACAUGAGCCGAUCUUAUAUCACUCAUCAACCGGCUGUCCUCAUACCAUUCUUAGUCGCAUCUAACUACUUUUUUUCGAUCUUCCUCUCUCCUUCUUUCCUCCUGCGUCUAUUUUCAUUACAAUUCUUACUGCUUCUGAUUCCUCUCUCCUUAUGGCUGCCCAAACUUUUUCAUUCUAUUUUCUCUAAUUUUGUCCACUAUCUAAGCUAUACCUAAGUUACCUCUUGUCUACUCAUUUAUUAUACUAUCUGCUCUUAUAACUCCACUUAUUUACCUAAGCAUUUUUAUCUCUGCUACACUUAUUAUCUCUUCUAUUUUAUUAUCGACCGCUCUAUACUCCAAACCAUACAACAUAGUCGGUCUCACCACGGUUUUGUAGAACUUACCUUAUAAGUCUUAUUGGGAUUCUCUUAUUACAUGAAAUGGCAGACGUUAGACUUACCCAACCACACUUAAACUUAUAUUUCACAUCCUUGUCAAAGUUACCGAUCUUUCGUACAAAAUAUCCUAGGUACUUAAAUACUAUCAUGUAUUACUUAUUGUUGUUAACUGUCUUGUCCUAUUGUUACAAACUCAUACUCUUAAUACUUUGUUUUACAACUACUUAUUCUUAGUAUCUUUUAUACAAGUGCUACUCUCCAUUCCACAAGCCUAUUACUAACUUCUUUCGAAUUUUCUCCUAUCAAAGCUAUAUCAUCUGCAAACAUCAUGCACCAUCUUCUCAUUUGCUGUUCUCGCUUACACCCGAGAUAGGAAAACCUACUCAAGUCUUGUUUAGAACUCCUCAUACUGUUUGACAGAAUUUUACACCAGCUAUCAACCUGAUGCAAUUCCAUUUGUCGCUUCUUACAAUAAAUAGUGGUCCUGUGGGAGUGUUCUCCUUCAAGGAGAAUGAUAUUUUCAACUAUAAGGUGAAUUCCUCUACCUUACAGAAACAAUAUCAUAUAAAUACUGGAAUCACCCACCUGGAAAUUCCACCAGUUAGAGCUCGGGACCCCGGAUUUACUAAACCCGUAGCAUUAUAUUCCCCUCGUGUGGUUAAAUACCUGUAUAUAUAAUACUAGCUGAAUUACCUGGCGUUACAGUUAGCAUUCAGUUAUGAAUCAGUCAAGACUUCUUCUUUUAACCUUACCUAACCUAACCUUACAUAUACAGAUAUAUAUUAUUAUUAUUUGUGACAACCAAAUUAUCAACUAUGUCAUCAAGGUAACCUUUAAAUCAACAAAUAAAAUUGAAUUAAUGUUCCAAAAUUACCAAAAAUCCAACUGCCGGCUAGGUGUGCCAUCCGACGUUUUCCGGACCAAUUUUUUUGUUAUUUCAUCUGUUUCACCAAUGAUCAUCGUCUCGUGAUUAAACUAAAAUAAAUAAAUAAAAAUUAGAUAUCCGUACAAAAAAUACCUUAAAAUUCUUAAUUUACCACCUUAGGGGUUAAAUUUUCAAAAACCCUUUCUUAGUGGAUGCCUGCAUCAUAGUAAUAGUUAUCUGUAUUCCGAAUUUCCGCCCAACCCAUCUAGUGCAGUGGUUUGUGUUCGACGAAGAUGAAUCAUUCAAUCAGGACAUGUUAUUUAUAAAUAAAUAAAUAUAUAUAUAUAUAUAUAGAGAGAGAGAUGUAUAUUAUAUGUAGACAGUAAGAAUCACAAUGCCAAUUAUGAUGAAAUAAUCUUAAGAAUUACUUUAUAGUUUAUAAAGAAUACAAUAAUUUUUAAAAUGUUAUAUUGUAAACACGUUGAACAAAAAAAAAAAAAAAAAAAACAAUUUAAUACCAAUUCAUUUUUUGUAACUCAAUAAGUUUUUUUUCUUUGCAGGAUUCGUUGGAUAAAAGUAAUUGGGACUCAGAUGGUUUACAAAACGUUUCGUCACCGUACAAGGCCUCAUGGACUGAACAGUUUUCCGCCGUGUUUUGGCGGUCGUGGCUAAGUAUAAAAAAAGAACCGGCUCUCACCAAAAUCAGGCUCAUCCAAACUAUUGUAAUAAUGAUAUGUGGAAAGGAUCUCGACUUUAUCUAAUCCCCGAUGCGUUAUUUUUUAGAUGGUUGCCGCUCUGAUAAGUUUCAUAUUUUACAACCAGCACUUGGACCAGGACGGUGUAAUGAACAUCAACGGGGCGCUGUUCAUGUGCAUAUCUAACAUGACGUUCCAAAACGUACUGGCAGUCAUAAACGUGAGUACCAUUAAAUACUAUGGCUAGAAAACAAGAUGUGUGAUUGUGUCAAGUGAUUAAAUGGAUGAGGAAGAAGUGGUUAUGAGGGCACAUGAAGUUUAACAAAGAUAUGAUGAUGGAGAUAUAGAGAUAAGGUAGCUGAUCUCAAACUUAAGUGGGAUAAAGACGAAUUCACUGACUUUAGUUUUUGUUUGAAUGGAUUGUGUAAAAUCAUUUUCCUAUUAUAUUUCCAUGGUAUAACAAGAAUUUCAAAACAUUUUUUUUUUUCUUGGCUUGCGGGUGUUUCCUUCAAAAUACGCUCCCGAGUAUACAAACCUGUGUUUUUACCUCUGCAGGUAUUCUGUUCCGAACUACCAGUGUUCAUGCGUGAACACCACAAUGGCAUGUACCGAACGGACGUGUACUUCCUAAGUAAGACAUUCGCCGAGAUACCUAUAUUCUUGGUGAUACCAGUACUGUUUACAUCCAUCAUGUACUAUAUAGUGGGUCUAAAUCCAAAGUUCGUUCAUUUUCUCACAGCCGUCUUAUUCAUAACGCUCGUCAGUUUGGUAGCCGUUUCGUUUGGUAAGUGUAUAAUUUCGGCCCAAACCUAACCUAACCUUGUAGGUACUGGUCAACGUUAGAUUGCAAAAAUACCCGAGCACAAAAUAAAAUAAAACUGCGUAUACAUACGCUUAAAUCUAUUGUAGUUUUAUAAUUCUUAUUAUGAUGUACGUUUACAGGUUAUUUCGUGUCGUGCGCAAGCGGUAACAUAUCAGUAGCGCUUUCUGUAGGACCCACGAUCGUCAUACCUUUCCUGUUGUUCGGAGGUUACUUUCUGAAUGUCGGGUGAGUACCUAUGUAGUAUAUAAUGCACAUAGUCAAUCGAUUGACUCUUAUACCUAUCGUGAUAUCCUCUACAUAGUCAAUUUACUGUAUCACGUACACCCUAAGUCCCGACCUAUAGAAUAUUGUAUAGUCGAAUAAAUAAUAUAACCUAUUAAUUUGGGUUCAAGAUCGAUUCCGUCCUACUUCCGAUGGUUGAGUGUAUUUUCGUGGUUCAAGUACGCCAACGAGGGACUUCAGAUUAACCAGUGGGCGGACAUCGACAAAAUCCAGUGCAACAGAGUUAACACCACAUGUCCGAGUUCCGGAUACGCUGUCUUGGAAUCAAAUAAUUUUGUAGAGGUAAAGGAAACAAAAAUACCAGUUACACUUUUACUUCUUUUCUUUCUUAUUUUUUUACGGGGAAAUUUUUUAUUUAAGAAAUUAUUUAUGCAUUUCCAACCAUUAAAAGGCAUUCCAAAGGAAACGACGUCAAUUAAAUGAAACUAAUAAAGUCGUGAUAAUCGUUGGUCAAGAUGAGUGGUGGCACUGUUAAUGGUUAUUAAAUGGUAACAGUCACUGUUGAGAUUUUCAAUAGUCACAUGGUUUUUUUUAACUAUAAUGUAUUUACCUAAGUAAUACAUCUUGACUUGACAUUUAUUUUGAUUCUUCCAUUCCUUGAUACAUUGAAUUACCUAUUAUAAAACACGCGAAUAGUCUUAAUUCGUCUGUUCAUGGAAUUAACGGCCACCGAUCGGUCCGUUAUUUGCAUUUUCUAUUUUCAUGGAAAACCUUCGUAAUUGUCCCCGCGACGACGACGGUCCUUCUGUACUUACAUAGCAUUUAUAUUUUAAUUAUUUUUAAAUGCUAUUGAAGUUGAUUCAAUAAACAGGUUAUAAAAUAUAAAUUAACGUUUUAUCAGUUUGUUUUUUUUUUUUGUUUUUAGUCAAACCUCACCAUGGACAUAAUUUCGUUGUUCCUGUUGAUCGUCGUAUUCCGAUUCUUGGCGUAUCUAUCUCUGCUAAUCAGAGCAUCCAGAAAGUAACUGACCAACCUGAUCGAUAUACAUAUAAUAAUAAUAUAUGAUAAUAUUAUACUCGCACACACAUCACACACAUACACACAUUUAAUAUGUAAUAUAGUACACAUGAAAAUGAUAUAAGCAGUUUACACGGAUUUCACGAAAUAUUCGUAAAAGCCUAAACCGUAUUUUUUAAAGAUUAUUUAAACGGACGCAGCUAUUCGUGUAUCUCGAUCGAGAAAAAUGUACUAUUAUACAUUAUUAUUAUACGCACUUUUUAUAUACGUGCAUUAAGAUCGUCUCGUUUUGUACAUAUAAGUAAUAUUAUACGUUAUUAUUUAAGAUUCCCCAAACAAAUAGGUAUGGUAAUAAUAAUUCACAUUUAAACUAAAUUCUCAAUAAAAGGAAAACACUAUAUUAUAUUAUCCUUAUGUAAUAUAGUAUUUUACGAACUCCUUGCCAUCAUAAUAUUAUCAUUUAUUAUCGUCAAACAGCAAAAUACGAGUCCAUUAAAUAUAUUUAUGAAAUUUAUUUUUAAUAUUAAUUAUAAGUAAAAAUGAUUCCAUAUGGACCAGAUGCGUCCCUUCUCCCUCCCCCCGGAUGUAAAAUUCUCACGGGGAAAUAAUAAACAUUAUAACACCUAUAACCUACUCUCAGUUUUACAUUUUUAUUAAUUUUUGUAUAUAUUACCUAUUAUAUAGGUAUAAUCAGUCCACGUAACACGACACGUCAAUAUUUAAUUUUAAUUUUAUAAGUAAACAUACAUAUAAAUAUUUUUUUUAGGCAUUGUUGUUCGUUUGAUGAUUUUUAUUUUGUUUGUUCUCAUAUACCUUAUACCUAAAUUAAAAUAUUUGUAAUAAAAUUAUAAUACACGUGUUAAGCAUUUAUAUACAUGAACGAUUCUAUUAUUUGUAGUGUUUAUAUUAUAUAGGUAUACUAUACUAUACAAUUACUGUUGUUAAAUUAUUAUUAUAUUGUAACAAGCGUGCGAUUUCGUAAAUUUAUUAUAAAUCAUUGUAAAGUACCAUUG